rnacentral:rRNA from 1 species
GAUCCUGGCUCAGGACGAACGCUGGCGGCGUGCUUAACACAUGCAAGUCGAACGAAGAGCGAUGGAAGCUUGCUUCUAUCAAUCUUAGUGGCGAACGGGUGAGUAACGCGUAAUCAACCUGCCCCUUCAGAGGGGGACAACAGUUGGAAACGACUGCUAAUACCGCAUACGAUCUGACCUCGGCAUCGAGGAUGGAUGAAAGGUGGCCUCUAUUUAUAAGCUAUCACUGAAGGAGGGG